rnacentral:tRNA from 1 species
ACUUAAAUAGCUUAUUAGAGCGUGAUAUUGAAGUUGUCAAGGUAAUCUUUUUGAUUUUUAAGUA